rnacentral:rRNA from 1 species
UACGUAGGGUGCGAGCGUUGUCCGGAAUUAUUGGGCGUAAAGAGCUCGUAGGCGGUGCGUCACGUCGGCCGUGAAAACCUGGGGCUUAACUCUGGGCGUGCGGUCGAUACGGGCAUCACUAGAGUUCGGCAGGGGAGACUGGAAUUCCUGGUGUAGCGGUGAAAUGCGCAGAUAUCAGGAGGAACACCGAUGGCGAAGGCAGGUCUCUGGGCAUUAACUGACGCUGAGGAGCGAAAGCAUGGGGAGCGAACAGG